CACAAUUCCCUGUAUCCGAGCCAUGAUACAAAACCCAGGUUAACAAAUUUACAGGUUCAUGACAGAGGAAACACCAGCAAAAGCAAAGCAAGACACCAACCACCAAGCUGAAUAAAUAGGAUAUCUCUUUCUCUUGGAAAUUGGUUUUUACAGAGCUCUUCAGGAGCAGCCCAUCAAAGAAAUUUAUGUUGAAAAUCGUUAAAAACACCUUGACAGUGUCCUUUUAAGAUUGCUAAACUGAAGCAGCAGCUCCAGUGGACGAAGCUGGGGGCCAAAAACAGCAGAGAGAAAGAUCGGGGCUCCUCAGUUCAAGGGGAUCAUAGUGUGCUUUCGCCAGCCAAGUUAUUUGCACCACUCCAGCAGCUUUGACUGGCAAGUCCACUAACGUCUCAUCGCAUCUGGAUCUCGGGGUUUCAAAGGAAUUGAGUUAUAGAGUUGGAAGGGAUUUCAAGUCUUCUUCUCCCACUCCCUCCCUGCCAAUGCAGGAAAUUUGCUGCUACAACAUCAGCCUCUGCUUAAAAAUCUCUAAUGAAGGGGAGUCCACCUGAGGUAGUCAUUUCCAACACUGAAGAGCAGUUCUUCUUAAUGUUGAGUGACUCAAAGUCCACUUUCUUGUAAUGUAACCCCUCUGGACCAAAAUAAAAUAAAUUUGUUCUAUCAGA